rnacentral:rRNA from 1 species
CCUACGGGUGGCAGCAGUAGGGAAUAUUGCUCAAUGGGCGAAACCCUGAAGCAGCAACGCCGCGUGAAGGAUGAAGGUUUUCGGAUUGUAAACUCCUUUUGUUAGAGAAGAUAAUGACGGUAUCUAACGAAUAAGCACCGGCUAAAGCCGUGCCAGCAGCCGCGGUAAUACGGAGGGUGCAAGCGUUACUCGGAAUCACUGGGCGUAAAGAGCGCGUAGGCGGGAUAGCAAGUCAGAUGUGAAAUCCUAUGGCUUAACCAUAGAACUGCAUUUGAAACUGGUAGUCUAGAGUAUGGGAGAGGUAGGUGGAAUUCUUGGUGUAGGGGUAAAAUGCGUAGAGAUCAAGAGGAAUACUCAUUGCGAAGGCGACCUGCUAGAACAUAACUGACGCUGAUGCGCGAAAGCGUGGGGAGCAAACAGGAUUAGAUACCCCAGUAGUC